AGGGAAAAUAGUUUUGGAGGGAUUUCCUGCACAGAUGACCUAUUACUUGUUAUUAUGCACCUGGUGCCCACUCUGAGAACAAUCCUCAAUGAAUUAUCAUGUAAUGAAUCCAUUUCCAACCUUAAAAUGAAUUAUGCACAAUCAGAAAUUCUUAACAUCCUAUUAAAAUUCCUCCAUCAUACUUCGAUAGAAAACUAUUUCCCCC